CGCGUAGGCGGCAGGCGAGGUCGGGGGUGAAAUCCCACAGCUUAACUGUGGAAGAGCCUUCGAUACCGGCUUGCUGGAGGAAGGUAGGGGUGCGCGGAACUUCUGGUGGAGCGGUGAAAUGCGUUGAUAUCAGAAGGAACGCCGGCGGCGAAAGCGGCGCACUGGACCUUUUCUGACGCUGAGGCGCGAAAGCCAGGGGAGCAAACGGGAUUAGAUACCCCGGUAGUCCUGGCCCUAAACGAUGGGUACUAGGUCGUGGGCCGGUCAUGGGCUCACAGCCGAAGCAAAAGUGUUAAAGUACCCCGCCUGGGGAGUAUGGUCGCAAGGCUGAA
rnacentral:rRNA from 1 species